AUUGAACGCUGGCGGCAUGCCUUACACAUGCAAGUCGAACGGUAACAGGUCUUCGGAUGCUGACGAGUGGCGAACGGGUGAGUAAUACAUCGGAACGUGCCCGAUCGUGGGGGAUAACGGAGCGAAAGCUUUGCUAAUACCGCAUACGAUCUACGGAUGAAAGCAGGGGACCGCAAGGCCUUGCGCGGACGGAGCGGCCGAUGGCAGAUUAGGUAGUUGGUGGGAUAAAAGCUUACCAAGCCGACGAUCUGUAGCUGGUCUGAGAGGACGACCAGCCACACUGGGACUGAGACACGGCCCAGACUCCUACGGGAGGCAGCAGUGGGGAAUUUUGGACAAUGGGCGCAAGCCUGAUCCAGCCAUGCCGCGUGCAGGAUGAAGGCCUUCGGUUGUAACUGCUUUGUACGGAACGAAAGACUACUUCUAUAAAGAGGUCCGAUGACGGUACCGUAAGAAUAAGCACCGGCUAACUACGUGCCAGCAGCCGCGGU
rnacentral:rRNA from 1 species